rnacentral:pre_miRNA from 1 species
CAUGUACUCCCUCCGUUCUGAAUUACUUGUCUUAGAUUUGUCUAGAUACGGAGGUAUCUAGCACUAAAAUGAGUCUAGAUACAUCCGUAUCUAGACAAAUCCAAGACAAGUAAUUCGGAACGGAGGAAGUAGUAC